AUGACCGGACGCAGGAUCUCCCAGAAUUUCUGGAAGAAAACUACCGGAAGGCCAUCCGGCCCCGGGCCUGAGCAAGCUUUCAUAGAAGCAAUCGCCCGUCCCACCUCCUCAGGAGAUAAAGGGAGAGUAAGCUCCGCAUUCUCCGCAUCGGAGACCCGAUCGGCAAGCGGCAAGUGGGUGGCGGAUGCGAGGAGGCCGCUCUACUCCGGCAACGAGUGCAGGAGGUGGCUAUCACGAAUGUGGACGGAACGGACAGAUUUCUCGUACGAGAGCCACCGCUGGCAGCCGCAUGACUGCGACAGGCCCGAUUUCUCAGCGACGCACUUUCUUCAAAGGUACGAACAGAACUCUGGCGUUCGUGGGCGAUUCGCUGGGCAGAGGGCAGUCCAGUCCAUGAUGUGCAUCGCGACAGGCGGCAAGCGCAGCCCCGAGGUUGAAGACGUCGGCCGGAGAUACGGCCUCGAAAAGACCCCGUCGCCGUUCAGUCCGGGUGGCUCCGCCUACCGAUUCCCAGAGACCAACGCCACCAUCCUCUUCUACUGGUCCGCCACCCUGUCCCAGCUGGAGCCUCUGACGGACGAGAGGAGGAGCUACGCGCUGCACCUCGACCGGCCGGCGCCGUUCAUGCAGGAGCACCUCCCCAGCUUCGACGCCCUGGUGCUCAACACCGGCCAUCAUUGGAACAAGGUGAAGUUCAGGAGGAACCGCUGGAAGCUGGACGCCAAGCUCCACAGCAUCGCCAGGUGGGCGGACUCGCAGCUCGCGCGUCACCCUUGGGUGAGCGUUUUCCUGAGGACCAUCUCGCCGGUGCAUUUCGUCGACGGCGAGUGGAACACCGGGGGGAGGUGCGACAGCACCGUCCCGCUGUCCGGCGGGAGCGGGGUCUCGCGGGAUCGCUCGAAUGACCUGCCUGCGGAGCGCGCGGUGAACGGGACUCGGGUUAAGCUCCUGGAUAUCAGCGCCAUCUCGCAGCUGCGCGGCGAGGGCCACAUCUCGAACCAUAGCACCAAAGUUCAGAGGGAGGUUUACGAUUGUUUGCAUUGGUGCCUUCCGGUUCCGGGUAUACCGGAUACGUGGAAUGAGCUCCUUUUUGCACAGAUGCAGUAA
rnacentral:rRNA from 1 species